AGCGAACGCUGGCGGCAGGCUUAACACAUGCAAGUCGAACGCCCCGCAAGGGGAGUGGCAGACGGGUGAGUAACACGUGGGAACGUACCCUUUGGUUCGGAAUAACUUGGGGAAACUCAAGCUAAUACCGGAUAAGCCCUUAUGGGGAAAGGUUUACUGCCGAAGGAUCGGCCCGCGUCUGAUUAGCUUGUUGGUGAGGUAAUUGCUCACCAAGGCGACGAUCAGUAGCUGGUCUGAGAGGAUGAUCAGCCACACUGGGACUGAGACACGGCCCAGACUCCUACGGGAGGGAGCAGUGGGGAAUAUUGGACAAUGGGGGCAACCCUGCUCCAGCCAUGCCGCGUGAGUGAUGAAGGCCUUAGGGUUGUAAAGCUCUUUUACCCGGGACGAUAAUGACUGUACCGGGAGAAUAAGCCCCGGCUAACUUCGUGCCAGCAGCCGCAGUAA
rnacentral:rRNA from 1 species